rnacentral:misc_RNA from 1 species
AGAGAGAGAGAGAGAGGGGGGGGGAGGAGGGAGAGAGAGAGGACUUGCAUUCACAAAUUCGAACAUUUUGAUUAGUUGUUAGACCGAUCAAACAACUUGAAUAAAACAGAGAACCAUAAGGAUUUGUAGGAAAUGCCUGAAAAUGGGCUUACACACAAAGCAUUUGGACCUAAUAAUGAAGUUUUACACAAUGCACAAUUGAGCAGGAUCUUUAAUGUACAAAAGGUUGGCAUCCUUUAAAAAAUAUGUUGGUGCAAAUUAAACUUCACACGCUCGAGAAAUCAGUCAACAGUUUCCUUAACUGCAGGCAAUGAAAUGAUCCAGAUAUUAACUUCAAAUGAUCCUUGUUUUCCAUCACUUCAGCUACAAAUCUUAAUAACAUUACAAAUAAAAGACAAUAAAAGAAAUUUACUUUCAGGCAUCCAUAUUAUAUAUUUAUAUUAUCAUGUUCAUUAACAACUACCAGAAAAAAAUUAAUCAACAUUUGUUUUCCACUGUUCUUUUAACAAUGCUGCCCUUUGCAUAACAUAAAUAUAUCAAUAGCUAAAUUUAUUCGUUCAGUAUUAUCGCAUAUAAUUCAAGCAUAAAACAUAAAUUCAACAGCACUGAAACGCCGUUAACAAGCAUCAAAGACACUAUAUCUGGCUAAAAAAAAUCCUCCAAAUCAUCAUCUAAUUACCUCAAACUAGUAAACAAUCUAAGAAACAUCCUUCAAUUUCCAAAAACACAAA